rnacentral:misc_RNA from 1 species
CUUGGGCAAGCCUUGGGUUGGUAGUAUGCAAGGGUAGUAAGAUAUAAUAAGGGGGGUACCUACCUGCCGCCGUGGUUAUAAACGUUAUAAAGUUCGUGGAUUGAUCAAUGGCGUGCCAUUCAGGAGUCGGGUGCAACGAAAGAAGAGCAUUUGCUCAAAAAUUAGCAAAACACGAUGCUGUGGAGAUGCGCCGCCAGGUGGCGUCGGCUGCCGGCUCCACGGCGUCCUUCAGUUCGACACGGGAUGCGUGCACCAUCGCCGGCGUGACCAGCUCCGCGGCCACACCGGUCUGCAGCGCAGAGCUGACGGAGCCUGUCGACUUUGAGGAGUUUCUCGAGUCGCACCAGCUGGAGCUGGCCUCUGACGAGCUGCGCGACCUGCUGGACGCGCCUCCCGAUGACAUCGACGUGGGCCUGGUGCAGCGCCGCUACCGGACCGUGCGGCCGCUGGCGCCCGACAAGCACGAGAUCGGGUCGCUGGAUGUACACGUCCAGGAGUGCGUGCGUCACUACCUGUCCGACUGGGUGUACGCGGUGCGUCGGUAUGCGGAGUUCAGCAGCGCCGGCGUGCAGCAGCGCCCAGCGGCGCCGGCCACCGUCGGCGAGCCGCACCAGUACGAGCUGGACGGCCCGGUGGAGUUCUCUCUGGCCGGCGGCACCAGCCAGACGCCGUCGGGCUCGGCGCGCACCAGCUGGCUGAUGGCUGACACGCCGCGAGGCAGCUGGGCCUCGUCCCACUUCGACCUGAAAAACUCGCUGGCGGAUGCGGCGCUGCCCUCGCUGCUGGACCGUGUGCCGGCCGAGACACUGGACAGACUGAACCAAGCGCACCGACAGCAGGCCAGACAGAGCUCGUUGUUCGCGCUGUGCUCGCCUCAGGAGGAGGACAUGAUCGAGCGCCGGCCGCCGCCCCCUCUGCCCGCCGAGCACCGGGGCCAGCGCAUCAUGGUCAAGUGCCUACAGCUCAGAUUGGAGGUCUCCAUCGAGCCAAUAUUCGCCUCGAUGGCACUAUAUGACGCUGGUCGGAAGAAGAAGAUAUCGGAGAACUUUUACUUUGACAUGAAUUCGGAGCAGAUAAAGAACAUGUUGCGUGCCCACGUGCCGUACGUCGACUUCAGCACGCUGAGCAAGAGCUGCAUCUUUGACAUCACGUACCCGUCCUCGGACAUUUUCCUCGUCAUCAAGCUGGAGAAGGUGCUGCAAGGUGACAUUGGGGAGUGCUCUGAACUGUACGUCAAAGACGAUAAGAGUCGCGACAAGGCCGAGAAGGCGCACGCGCAGGCGACCGUGUUCUGUGAGCGGCUCGGCCGCUACAGGAUGCCGUUCGCGUGGACAGCCAUCUACCUGAUGAACAUUCUGGACGGCAUCAGCAGCCUGGAGCGGGAGGCCGGUGACCGCGAUGUCCCUGCCGCACAGACCAACAGUCUCGAGCGCAAAUCAUCCCAGUCGAGUCUGGACCAGUUCCGUCGGUCUCGCCCGGGCGCCGGCGAGGGGGGCUCCGGACCCGGCUCCGGACCCGGCUCCGGCCUGGGCCGACGCGGCUCUCUGGAGCGGCGCAGCUUCAGCGAGCGGCGCGGCGCAUCGUCGGCUCAGCUGGCUCAGAGUCUGCAGACAUUUCGGCCGGUCACACUCACCGUGUCCACCUUCUUCCGACAGGAAAGCGACCGUUUGAAGGAGGAAGACUUGUUUAAACACCUGCAAGACCUGAAGCGGCCCAGCAACGCCAUGAAAAAACUGAAAUGUAUCGGCGGGACGCUGAAGCUGGACAUUGCGCCAUGUCCGGACGAGGUCAAGCACUGUCUGACACCAGAGCUGGCCAAACUGCGACCGUACCCGGAUGACAAGGCGCGGCCCUGCAAAGAACUGCUCGAGUUCCCCCCUGAGGAAGUGUACGAGCCGCACUACUUGUACAGAAACCUCUUGUUCGUCUCGCCCAAGACGGUCAACUUUGUCAACUAUCCCAACAAGCCUGGCAUUUCGGCCCGCAACAUCACUGUGCGCGUCCAGUUUCUGAACGGCGAGGGCAAGGAGUCGGCGCUGCCGGUCAUCUUUGGCCGCUCCUCGAUGCCGGAGCUCGUCAGUGAGGCCUACACCGCCAUCAGCUACCACUCAAAGAACCCAGACUUUUACGAUGAGAUCAAGAUCAAACUGCCGGCUACGCUGACUGAUGCUCACCACCUGUUGUUCACUUUCUUUCACGUGAGCUGUCAGCAGCGCAAGGCGGAGCCCAGCAGCGCGUCCACGCCAAUCGGCUACACGUGGUUGCCGGUGCUUCGCGAGGGCCGUCUAAAUACCACAGAGGCCUGUUUGCCCGUGCUGCUGGAGCCACCGCCCUCCAAUUACCCGUACAUCACGCCCGACAUCAACCUUCCUGGCGUCAAGUGGGUGGACAACCACCGGCCGCUGUUCAGCGUCUCAGUAACGGCGCACAGCUCGGUGCACGCGCAGGAUAAGAACAUCGACAGUUUCCUGGGCAUGUGUCGAAUUGUGGAAAGCGGUGUGGUGCCAACGCGAAUAGGAGAUAGCAACGUCGAAACAGAGCUCCGACGCAGCAUCGAGCAGCUGUGUGACAGCGACCCGGAGCGGCUGGUGCAGAUGGUGCCGCUGCUGCUGGACCGGCUGCUGCAGCUGCUGGUGCGGCCGCCGAUGGUCGCUGGUCAACUCAUCAACACUGGCCAGCCGUGCUUCCACGCCAUCGGACAGCUGGUCAAACGGGUGUCGGAGCUGCUCGAGGGCCGGAACGACCAGCACGGCCGCAACAGCCUGCUGAUGACGUACGUGCACUACCAGUGCGGUCUGUCGCCGGCGGGCGCCGAGCCUCCGCCGCCGACCGUCGCCGGCCACACCGCCCGCGCCUCGUCACUGCCGCGCGCGCGCGCCUUCAACAGGAGCACCAGCAACCCCAACAUGGCUGGCCCGCUGGACGCCGACUCGGAGGUGGGCCAUAUCCUGGGCCGAGCGCUGGACCGGACGGCCAGCCUGCGCACAGGGGUCAGCCAGGAGCUGCUCGUCGCUUGUCGCCCGGCCGCCACCGCCCGAAAGGUGGUGCACGAGGAGCUGGCACUGCAGUGGGUGGUGGCUAGCGGCAAUUCGCGCCAGCUGGCGCACGCCAACCCCUGGUUUUUCUUCGAGCUGAUGUUCAAGUCUAUGGUGUGCACACUGGCGUCGGGAGGCCGACUGGACUCGCCGCGCCGGCUGCGCUUCUCCGAGCGGUUCUGUGACGACAUCACCACACUGGUGGACAACAUCACCAAGGAUGUGGUGGCGACACAGGCGCGCCACGCCGCUGAGGCGGCCCCGGACGUGAGCCGGUUGAACGCAGCGCUGGCGUUCUUCAUCAAUGACCUGCUGUCGGUGAUGGACCGUAGUUUUGUCCUGGGACUGGUGCGCCUCUAUUGCCGUGAGAUGGCGUCUCAGCGCACCACUACCAGCGGCGCCCAGCUCAUCUAUCUGAAGCUGGACUUUCUGCGUAUCGUGUGCUCGCACGAGCACUACUUUUCGCUGAAUCUGCCGUUUUGUACGCCGCUGAGCGGUGCUCUGGUGGCGGCGUCUCCGACACCGUCGGUGGGCUCGGCCAGCUCGCAGUCCUCCUACCUAUCCACGCUGGUGGCUAACGAGCGGCCGCGCUUCGGCGAGCUGAGCGUCCACUUCCUUCAGCAGCACUACCUGGCCGGCCUGGUGCUGCAGGAGCUGCGGGCCACGCUGCCACCCAGUGGACGGACCGGCGGCGGCGGCAGCGGCCCAGGCACGCAGCGGCGCGCUGUCGCUCUGGUGCGCAGUCUGCUGGCCUGGCACGACGCCGACCCGCGCUUCCAGGAGCAGUGUGCGCGCGCACGCGUGGCACUCCUCUAUCUGCCCCUGGUGCCGAUCGUGCUGGACAGUCUGGAUCAGAUGUUUGGAUGGGGUGCAGCAGAUUUGUCAGCUGCCGGUUAUUCGACCAGGGACGAUGGCCCGCUCGGCUCGCCGCCGCACGACACGGCAGAGGCGCAGGCGCGGUCAGCGAACGUGCGGCCAGACACCAGUCGCGACCUGCUGCUCUGCACACUCUGGGUGCUGAAGAAUGCUCGCGCCGAUGUGCUGCGCGCCACCUGGGCCGAGUACCGACCGGCGCGACUGCAUCAGCUGCUGCGCCUGCUGCACAACGCACUCUCCUGCUUCGAGUAUAAGGGUGGCCGCCAGCCGCCGCUGGCCUCCCAGGCGACGGGGCGCGGGCCCACGCGCGCCGUCGAGGCCAAGUCGAGGCUGGAGGACAUGCUGCUGGGCGGCGGCUCGGCACGCAGCGAGCUGAUCCGGCGCCGGUCUCAGCACCAGCAGCCGGCCGCUACGCCGGACCGUCUGCGCUGGCGCAAGGAGCAGACGGCGCCCCAGUGGCGGCAGGAGGAGCGCGCCGACGGCGUCGCCGAGCCGGCCGAGCCGGCCGCCGAGCGCUGUCUCUCGGCAGAGGCCAGCAUGGUGGUGUUGGACGCCCUGGAGACGCUCAUACAGGUGCUCUCCAGCCAGGACAGCCUGCACGGCCUGCUUGGCAUGGCGUUCCGCGUGCUGCUGCACGCUCUCUCCUGCAACCAGAGCACCGCCGUCAUCGCCAAUAUGCUGGCCACCCAGCGCUCCCUAGUCACAAAGUACCCGUCUCUGCUGUUUGAUGAGGAGACGGAGCACUGCGCCGACCUGUGCCUGCGACUACUGGAGCACUGCAGCAGCACCUUCUCCAGUACGCGCAGCCAAGCUUCCGCCUCGCUCUACCUGCUCAUGAGGCAAAACUUUGAGAUUGGCAAUAACUUUGCCCGUGUCAAGAUGCAGGUGACCAUGUCGCUCAGCUCGCUGGUCGGCACCAGUCACAACUUCAGCGAGGGCUUCCUGCGCCGCUCUCUGAAAACCAUCCUCGAGUACGCCGAGAGCGACCUCGAGCUGGCCGAGACUACCUUCCCCGGACAGGUGUCGGACCUGGUGUUCAACCUGCACAUGAUCCUCUCAGACACAGUAAAAAUGAAGGAGUUCCAAGAGGAUCACGAGAUGCUGCUUGACCUGAUGUAUCGCAUCGCCAAGGGCUACCAGAACUCGCCGGACCUGCGGCUCACCUGGCUCGACAACAUGGCCAAGAAACACACAGAGCGCGGCCAGUUGGCCGAGGCCGGUAUGUGCUACGUGCAUAGCGCUGCGCUUGUCGCCGAGUACCUGAGUAUGCUGGAGCCGAAAGCGUACCUGCCGCUCGGAGCGGCUGCCUUCGAGGACAUCUCGCCUAACGUGCUGGAGGAGAGUGCAGUGUCGGACGAUGUGGUUAGUCCGGAAGAGGAGGGGAUUUGCACCGGGAAGAGUUUCACCGAGCCAGGCCUUGUCUCGCUUUUGGAGCAGGCCGUCCACGCCUUCGACAGCGCCUCCAUGCACGAGGCCGUCAACGACAUCUACAAGCUUCUCACUCCCAUCUACGAGAACUCGCGCGACUACCGCAAACUGGGCCUCAUCCACGGGAAGCUGCAGGACAGUUUUAACAAGAUGAGCUCAGUGGACGGCAAGAGGAUGUUCUGGUCGCACUUCCGUGUCGGCUUCUACGGGCUCAAGUUUGGCGACCUGGACGGUCAGGAGUUUGUCUACAAAGAGCCGGCGCUCACCAAGCUGGCGGAAAUCUCCAGCCGACUAGAGAGUUUCUACGCGGAGCGGUUCGGUGUCGACAGCGUGCACACCAUCAAAGGCUCCAGCCGGGUGGAGUCGGCACAGCUCGACCCAGAGGCUGCCUACAUACAGAUCACAUACGUCGAGCCCUACUUCGACGCAUGGGAGCGGCGCACUCGGCUCACCGCCUUCGAGCGAAACUUCAACAUCAAGACGUUCAUGUUCGCCACGCCGUACACGCUGGACGGCCGGGCGCACGGCGAGCUCAGUCAACAGUACAAACGCAAAACCAUCAUCACCGUGGCCAACAGCUUCCCAUACGUGAAGACGCGCGUGCCCAUCUUGUCGCGCCGCGAGGUGGUCCUCACUCCGAUCGAAGUGGCCAUCGAGGACAUCCGUAAGAAGACGGCUGAACUGUGUGCUGCCGUGCACCAAGAACCACCAGACACCAAAAUUCUUCAGAUGGUGCUUCAGGGCUGCAUCGGUGCCUGGACGCGCUGAAAAAGAACCGCACACUGAUCAAGCCUGACCAGAGCGAAUACCAGAAGGAGCUGGAGAAAAACUACCAGCGCUUCACCGACAGGCUCAAGCCGCUGUUUUCCGGGCGGCAGUCGCAGGCGCUGACGCUGUCCAAGAGCCGCUCUCGGGAACUGGUGCCAGCGCAACAUCUGAAAACCAGCCCGUUCGUGUAGCGUCGUCGGACGGCGAUGCAGGAGCGCUGCGCUCGUGGCCGCCCCAUCCACCCAUAUAUCUACUGUUCGUCGACCGCCCGAUGUACCGAUCAUACUCCUAAUGCAGUUUGAAAGCAAGGCCAGCGCGCGGUGACCAUUCUCGCCGCUGUACUGAGCAGCCGGACCGGUCCGCUGAUCCCGUGUCCUGGUGCACUUUUGCCUAGGACCACGGCACCAGUCGUGGCUAUAAAAAUGCUCUGUGCUGUCUGCUGCCGGCCGCUUAUCUCUUGAUUGUCUUGUCUUGGAUGUUUUCAUAUGUAGAAAGAUAAUUCCAUGUGAAACGUGCUUAAUUAUGAUUUUCCAUUACCGUAUUGUUUUUUUCCAUGCAGUUCUUUUGCGCUUGCAAAGACGGUGUAGAGUAAAAGGGUGUUGUAUUUCUCUCCAACCGGCUUUGGGUGAGGUACAACGCCGACAUUGCAACGUGCACUGCUAAAAAACACAUCAUUCAUGAAAACAAUACAUAAGACAUGGAGGCGGCGGGGAGGCGGACGGGAAGCGCUUCCGUCGCGUGCCGACACAGAGCGAAGAAUGACCCCGCGUCAGGGCGGGUCAGCUGGUGCGCGCACGCACAGAUCACACUACGUGGCGAGCGCUCAUUCGCCGCAUGGAAAGGUCGUUAAGCUGCGCUGAAACGCUGCAUUUUUUCUCGUCAUCGAUCACGACCUCAUAUGGUUGGACUUUCAACCGCAGUGGUGUUUUGUUUUCUGACUUCAUGACUGUUUUCUGCCUAACAUUUUUGGUAAUCGUUGAGUGUGGAGCGGCGGAGCUGUGAUGUGCUGUUGGCGCGUCGGCCGCAGUGUCGGCUGUUAGGCGCGGCGGUCGGGUGGCGACCGGUACUGCGUGUGGCUGCGGCAGGGAUGCUCGCUGCGGCGCGCUCCUGGUCCGGCUAUGAGCUGCCAGUGAAACCCCCGCCGAACCAUAUUUCGCUGCAUUUCCUUAACACUUUGUGUGUACAUGCCUAGGUGAUGCGCUUGGCGGCCGCAGUCUCCCGUCUAUUCUAUCGUCCUCGAGCCAUGCCAGUGCGCCCCAAAGUCAGAGUGGUCUGCUGCCUUUCUCCUGCCACUUCGCCACAAUAUACUACAACAAACGGUUGU